rnacentral:lncRNA from 1 species
GUUAACUUUUUAACUACGUGGCGCUGAAAAAAAAUAUAAAAAUUUAAAAUAUUACAUGUGGCAAAAAAAUAAAUAAAAAACUUCAACCUAACUUUCUACAUCAACAAAAUAAUAAUAUAUAAUUAAUUAAUAUUUUAAUUCAUUAAAUCAAUCAGAUUAGAUAUGAAAGAACAGAUCUAAAAAAAUCUCCGUCUUCAUCGUAACAGAUUAUGCGAAUUUUUCUCAUGAUUUUGAUGGAUUCAUCAGCAGAAUAUGGUUUGUUCCUCGAUUUCUUGCCGAGGUUGUCUUGAUUCGGUUGGUUUUGUCUGUGAGGCUCUGGCAUUUUUUUCCCACUCAAAAGAUACCCAGUACCCAAAAAACUGUGAUUUGUAGAAAAUAAAACCAAAAAAGGCUAGUAAUGAACGGUAAGGGGGGAAACUAACACUAUCUGAUUCUCAAGUAAGAGGCCCUCUUAAAAACAAGAAAAGAUAGAAAAUUUUCAUUAUAUGAAAACCCCCAAAACACUCUACUCCAGAACAAGUCCUGCAAACAAAAACCCAUAACCAAAAACCAUGACCCAUUUCAGAUCAGAACCAGAAAACCAUAAAACAAGAAGGAACAUUAAUGAUUUAUACAAAAAAACACCAAAUAACACCAGUGUUUAAGAAAGAUUUGUACCUUUUGGGCCUCAAACGCAUCGAAACCUUCGGGCAAAGGUGAAGGCAAAAGAGCUGCAGUUGAAUGCAAAUAUUACAGAGAAAAACAGAAGCAAAUGAAAUCCAGUGCUUCAACUGAGACCCAAUUGCAACCAAUUCAGACCCUACC